rnacentral:siRNA from 1 species
AUUCAAUUCACAGUUUGCGGUAGC